rnacentral:lncRNA from 1 species
AUUAUCUGGGUCUAGAUUUUGCUAAAUUGAAAUACAUUGAUACAUUAACUCCUACUGAUUCGGAGGGAUCAAUCCCAUCUUGAUUCAUGCACUAACUUGAUAAGUACUUAGUUGCACCUAGAAACCUUCCAUCAUUAAAUUAGAAACUCAAUUAGUCUGACAUCAAAGUACAGUGAGUUGCUUGUAAGUUACUAUGGUGA